GGACCCGCACAAGUAGUGGAGCAUGUGGUUUAAUUCGAAGAUACGCGCAGAACCUUACCAACACUUGACAUGUUCGUCGCGACUUUAAGAGAUUAAAGUUUUCGGUUCGGCCGGACGAAACACAGGUGCUGCAUGGCUGUCGUCAGCUCGUGUCGUGAGAUGUUGGUUAAGUCCCGCAACGAGCGCAACCCUCACUUUUAGUUGCCAUCAUUUAGUUGGGCACUCUGAAAGAACUGCCAGUGAUAAGCUGGAGGAAGGUGGGGAUGACGUCAAGUCCUCAUGGCCCUUACGUGUUGGGCUACACACGUGCUACAAUGGCAUCUAACAAUAGGAAGCAAAAUGGCAACAUUGAG
rnacentral:rRNA from 1 species